rnacentral:rRNA from 1 species
GAUGAACGCUAGCGGCAGGCCUAACACAUGCAAGUCGAGGGGUAGAGGAAGCUUGCUUCCUUGAGACCGGCGCACGGGUGCGUAACGCGUAUGCAAUCUGCCUUGUACUGAGGGAUAGCCCAGAGAAAUUUGGAUUAAUACCUCAUAGCAUUAUGAAAUCGCAUGGUUUUAUAAUUAAAGUUCCAACGGUACAAGAUGAGCAUGCGUCCCAUUAGUUUGUUGGUAAGGUAACGGCUUACCAAGACGAUGAUGGGUAGGGGUCCUGAGAGGGAGAUCCCCCACACUGGUAAUGAGACACGGACCAGACUCCUACGGGAGGCAGCAGUGAGGAAUAUUGGUCAAUGGACGCAAGUCUGAACCAGCCAUGCCGCGUGCAGGAUGAAGCAUCUAUGGUGUGUAAACUGCUUUUGUACGGGAAGAAACACUCCUACGUGUAGGAGCUUGACGGUACCGUAAGAAUAAGGAUCGGCUAACUCCGUGCCAGCCGCCGCUGUAAUAC